AAUGUUUUAAACAAAUUCUCUGUAUUUACUUAUACAAGUAUUUUCCGGACGCAUCUUGGUUACACACUGCUGAAUGCAAUGUGGGUUCAGAACACACCUAAUUAACCUAAUUAGCUAGUGAACCUUUGACAAUUAGCAGACUACAUCCUCAAUGUGAGCGUUUUAAAGUUAAACAGUGAGACUUAAUUGAUAAACAUGGCCUUCGAGUUAGCUUGAGUUUAGUUGGCUAGCUAGCUAACGUCUUGCAUUAAAGCUUAAUUUUCUUUUCUUUCUUUUUUUUUUUUUUUUGCAGCGUGGUUUCUUAAAAAUGAUAAAUAACCAAAUUCCACACAGCAAAUGUUAGCCAUGUGAAAUGUUAAGAAGAGCAGUGGGGGAAAUUUCCCUAUGUGAUGUUUAGCUUCAUAAAUAAGUGCACUUGAUGUUUUUUUGGUGGUUUUAUUGCUGUUUACAGAGGGUAAGGUUGUGGGGAGGCUGCCCCAUGUGCUCUUCUGUGUGGAGUGUCUCUGCUCUCUGGAGUGUCCUCAGGACUCCAACUCUGUCCCCUCAGUCAGCUGUCCCGAGUGUAGGACGGUUUUUGCUAUGUGGGCCAAUCUCAGCUGAAAGCAGGUGUACUUGCGGCAGGUCCAUACUCUGUGUAGCGGUGUGUAUCUGCUUUUUCAAGUUCGUUAAGUCACAGACGGGCCACAGCUAAAAUUAAGGAGCUCAGCCGCCUGGAAAACACUUUUGACGGUUAAAUCAGUUAGGAUACUCGAGGCUGCAGUCAUUCUUCGUUUUCAAGAGGAAUCAUUUCAGCUGAAGAAGCCAUGCUGAGGGAGGUGUUAACUAAAUUAGAGAUGGUGCUGGACCAACAAACCACUGAGAUUGCUUCAACUACAGGAGGUCCAGGUGCAGCCUUUGGAUAUUGAUGAAGAUUUACUGCCCCUGCAAGACCUUCCUCAACUGUGUAGUCUGGAGCGAAGGAUGCAACAGAGCCCAGAUUACAAGCAAAAUCUGUUUCAGGUAAACUGGUUGGAGCUUAUUGACAGGGCGGAUGUGCUCAACUGCACCUGGUGCAUAUUGGUGAUUACUAACUCCCUGGAAAAGAACCUCAAUUGGAGGGGAAUCAAUAGAAAGACUUCACUGUCCGCUCUCCAACUCGGAGAGGUCGUGAUUGGCUGCGCAUUGACCAAGAAAUGAUUACGGUGAUCAAUCUGACGGGAACUACCUGUGCAAUAAACGGUUAUAAUGCACACCUUCCAGCCAAUCAGAAUCCAGUAUUCACAGUGACCAUGAGAUGGAGGUCGAGAGGACCAUGAAGAGGUGGCUCCAGCUGGCAUCAGAUCAAGAGUGUGAGUGCAAGAGAAGUCUUUUGCAAAAGGAAGCUACCAGGAAUCCUGAAGAAGGACGAGUGCAUUGGAGCAGUCGUGCCGCAUGCGGGGGCAAACAUCAGGCUUCGGCAGACAGAGGUUCUGAAGAGGGCCAGCCUGAUCGAGACGGUAUGAGGCAGAUCACCCACCGCGAAGAUCAUCGUCUCUGGACCUCUUCCCUCAUACAGAUGUGGAGCUGAAAAGUUCAGUAGACUUCUAGCAUUAAAUGAUUGGUUAGUUUCUUGGUGUAAUUAACAGGAAUCUGCUGUUUGUUAAUAACUGGAAUCUGUUCUGGGAGCGUCCUAGGAUGUUUCGUCCUGAUGGCCUGCACUCCAGCAGCUUCGGAGCGGAACUGCUGUCUGACAACAUCUCCAAGACACUACAAACCAAGUGACUGCCUACCGUCAAAUUAUUCGUAAACAUGGAAUGAACUUCCACUGUUAUGCUGAUGAUACAGAGCUGUAUGUUUGCAACUGAACAAUAACAAUAAACAACAACUGAAGAAUAGCGAAAAACUCCAACUGUUUUCGUGCUUACUUGAAGACGAUGAGGCGGAGCAGCAUCGGAGAGACAGUUCGCUCCAUUCUCCAAAGAAUCGGGGAGAACAGUCUGUGGUGUAUGUUUUCGUUGAAAGCGCCAAAAGGUGGGAAGCUGGCUUUGACUGAUCAGGAUGAAGUGUAUGGCCUUGUACACUAUAUUGCCGAACAAGCACAUGGACGUGAAUAUACUGUUGCCGGUUGCAGAGAGGCCAUCGGCAGCUACCUAAAAAAUGCCCCAGGCAGGAAAAGUGUCAAGAAACACAUUAUGUGUUUAUGAUGAAGGUUAGAAUUUAAAUCUACAACUUCUGUGGUUCUUUUUCUUUUCUCAUUCAUACAAAUGUGCCAUUGUGUAACACUGUUGACUGACUCAUUAGUUUUUAUAUCCCUUUGAAAAGCAAAAACCUUUCCACUAUGCAUAUAACUGAAAGUGCAUACAUGCUCCAAACCUUUUGUGAAUACUGAUGAUUGAUUUGGAGGUUUCAAAUUUUGAGUGAAUUGUGGUUCACUUUCUUGCGAUCAGGAAUGUGUAGCUAAUGUCUGUAGUUUACUGAUUCCGAAAUUGUUGGUUCAGACUGCAUCAUAUAGUACUAGUAUAUAACAAUGAAAUGAAAUGCCAUAUAUUCAGAUAUAUCCACUGUCUGUUCACAGCAGAGCUACAUGGGAUCUCUAGUGCGUCCUGCAAGAAUUGGGCCUGAGUCCAGUUCAGAUUCAAUUUUGUAAUUCCUCUCCCUCGCGUGACAGCCUCCAAACAGUACAAUUCUAAUGAGCUUGAAUAUACGGAGAAUUCCAUUGGGUUUGAUGUCUGACUAAUAAUUUUUUUCUUUGAUUAGCAAUACAUAGGAACUAUAUCUGGCUAUUUUGUGUGUUACAAUAUUGAAUGUCAUUUUUCAGCUUUUAACUUCGUCUGCAUUUACUAAAAUUCAUGCAUGUUUAUUAAAAAUAUUCAUGGAGUUUGUUAAACUAUAUAAUUGUUGUCUGUCAUUCAUAAGAUUCGUCAUGUGAAUUCCAUAGACCAGAAUCUAACAUCCACAUUAUUGAAGCUUGUUUAAUUACGGGUUUGUUAAAGCAUGCGGUAUGUUAUAUGCUUUAAUUGUAUCUUGCCACAUAAUGUUGGAAAAUGAGUACUUGUGUACUUUUCAAGAAAUUAGAUACAAAAAGGAUUACACAUAUCUGAUUAGAAAAAAUAGCAUCAUAAUGUGUGUAACUUUGUGUAUAAAUAUUGUGUAGUGUAUUUACACCACAUUAUGAGGUGUAUAUACAGGCAAUUACAAAAUACUAUGUGCAUGUUGUUGAGUCUUUCUGGAAUUCUAUAUCCCUGUUUUAUAAAGCACUGAAUGGUUUGGGUCCAAUAUAUAUUUCUGAUCUACUGGUACAUUAUGAACCAUCCAGACCUCUGAGGUCAUCUGGAACAGGUCUGCUUUCUGUUCUCAGAGUCAAAACUAAAUGUGGAGAAGCAGCAUUUAGUUUUUAUUCUCCACAUAUCUGGAACAAACUCCCAGAAAACUGCAGAUCUGCCAAAACUGUCAGUUCUUUUAAAUCAAGACUGAAGAAUUUUCUUUUUGCUGCUGCUUUUAAAUCAAUCAUCAAGGUAUUUUAAUUAAUAUCUUAUGCUGCACUGUAACCUUUUUAAUCUGUUUUAACCUGUUUUUUAUUUGUUUGUUUUUAUUACUUUUUUUUUAAUUUAUUUUAUAUAAUGUGUAUGAACUCUUUUUAAUGUCUUCUUUUUAAAUGUUGCUUUGUGUUGCUUUUAUGUAAAGCACUUUGAAUUACCCUGUUGCUGAAAAUGUGCUAUACAAAUAAAUUUGCCUUGCCUUUGUG